CCUAGAGGACGACCUCUAGGACUUUCGGGCGAUCUCAAGGACGACCUCA
rfam:Ixodes scapularis strain Wikel colony gcontig_1108378823666, whole genome shotgun sequence.